rnacentral:rRNA from 1 species
UACGUAGGGGGCAAGCGUUGUCCGGAUUUAUUGGGCGUAAAGAGCGUGUAGGCGGCCAGACAGGUCCGUUGUGAAAACUCGAGGCUCAACCUCGAGAUGUCGAUGGAAACCGUCUGGCUAGAGUCCGGAAGAGGAGUGUGGAAUUCCUGGUGUAGCGGUGAAAUGCGCAGAUAUCAGGAAGAACACCUAUGGCGAAGGCAGCACUCUGGGGACGGUACUGACGCUGAGACGCGAAAAGCGUGGGGAGCAAACAGG